rnacentral:rRNA from 1 species
UACGUAGGCAGCGAGCGUUGUUCGGAGUUACUGGGCGUAAAGGGUGUGUAGGCGGUUUUCUAAGUUUGGUGUGAAAUCUCCCGGCUCAACCGGGAGGGUGCGCCGAAAACUGGGAGACUAGAGUGCGGGAUGGGAGAGUAGAAUUCCUGGUGUAGCGGUGGAAUGCGCAGAUAUCAGGAGGAACACCAAUAGCGAAGGCAGCUCGCUGGGACGGUACUGACGCUCAUGCACGAAAGCGUGGGGGAGCAAACAGG